CUUCUCCUGCCUGGGAUUUCUGUGAGAAGCAGCUCUGGUCUUCUGUUCUCUACCCCAUUUCCUUCAUUACUGCAGCUGCUGGUAGACCUAGAAAAGUGGGAAAAGUUUCUCUCUUCGUGUUCUCCUGGGCUGGAUCAGUGCUGUGGGACGACGAACUACUGCGAUCUUGUGGUGUAAAGGAUAUAUUCCUGGGUUCGUGUUGCUGACAGGAGGCAGCAGGGACCCCAGUCAGCCUCAGGUGGGAGCAGCAGAGCGAUGGCACAGGGACACCUCCAUCCUCGAAUCCCUCCUCCCCACUCUGGACCUAGAUUCUAGCGAAGCCCCUGCUCUGGAAGCAUCCCUCGACACAGGUAGGGAUGAGAUCCCGAAACCAAGGUGGAGAAAGCUCGUCUAACGGGCACUUCUCUAGUUCCAAGCCUGUCAUCAGCCAUGCAGAGAACGAAAAACUUCAGGAGGAUGCCAAGAAAAAGAACAAACCUCAUCAGAAGGAAGAUGAGGUCAUGGUUUCAGCAACUGUCAAACGGCACUCAAAAUCACCUGGACCUACUGAACGAAAGAACAAGAAGUCCAUAGAGCUUUCUAAAGAGGACUUGAUAAAACUCCUCAGUAUAAUGGAAGGAGAACUGCAGG